rnacentral:rRNA from 1 species
GACGAACGCUGGCGGCGUGCUUAACACAUGCAAGUCGAACGGUAAGGCCCUUCGGGGUACACGAGUGGCGAACGGGUGAGUAACACGUGGGUGAUCUGCCCUGCACUUCGGGAUAAGCCUGGGAAACUGGGUCUAAUACCGGAUAGGACCACUGCCUGCAUGGGUGGUGGUGGAAAGCUUUUGCGGUGUGGGAUGGGCCCGCGGCCUAUCAGCUUGUUGGUGGGGUGAUGGCCUACCAAGGCGACGAGGGGUAGCCGGCCUGAGAGGGUGACCGGCCACACUGGGACUGCGAUACGGCCCAGACUCCUACGGGAGGCAGCAGUGGGGAAUAUUGCACAAUGGGCGCAAGCCUGAUGCAGCGACGCCGCGUGAGGGAUGACGGCCUUCGGGUUGUAAACCUCUUUCAGCACCGACGAAGCGCAAGUGACGGUAGGUGCAGAAGAAGGACCGGCCAACUACGUGCCAGCAGCCGCGGUAA